CCUACGGGAGGCUGCAGUGGGGAAUAUUGGACAAUGGGGGCAACCCUGAUCCAGCCAUGCCGCGUGUGUGAAGAAGGCCCUCGGGUUGUAAAGCACUUUCAGUGAGGAAGAACGCCUGGUGGUUAAUACCCAUCAGGAAAGACAUCACUCACAGAAGAAGCACCGGCUAACUCCGUGCCAGCAGCCGCGGUAAUACGGAGGGUACGAGCGUUAAUCGGAAUUACUGGGCGUAAAGCGCGCGUAGGUGGCUUGAUAAGCCGGUUGUGAAAGCCCCGGGCUCAACCUGGGAACGGCAUCCGGAACUGUCAAGCUAGAGUGCAGGAGAGGAAGGUAGAAUUCCCGGUGUAGCGGUGAAAUGCGUAGAGAUCGGGAGGAAUACCAGUGGCGAAGGCGGCCUUCUGGACUGACACUGACACUGAGGUGCGAAAGCGUGGGUAGCAAACAGGAUUAGAUACCCUAGUAGUC
rnacentral:rRNA from 1 species